CCUACGGGGGGCAGCAGUCGAGAAUCAUUCACAAUGGGGGAAACCCUGAUGGUGCGACGCCGCGUGGGGGAAUGAAGGUCUUCGGAUUGUAAACCCCUGUCAUGUGGGAGCAAAUUAAAAAGAUAGUACCACAAGAGGAAGAGACGGCUAACUCUGUGCCAGCAGCCGCGGUAAUACAGGGGUCUCAAGCGUUGUUCGGAAUCACUGGGCGUAAAGCGUGCGUAGGCUGUUUCGUAAGUCGUGUGUGAAAGGCGCGGGCUCAACCCGCGGACGGCACAUGAUACUGCGAGACUAGAGUAAGGGAGGGGGAACCGGAAUUCUCGGUGUAGCAGUGAAAUGCGUAGAUAUCGAGAGGAACACUCGUGGCGAAGGCGGGUUCCUGGACAUUAACUGACGCUGAGGCACGAAGGCCAGGGGAGCGAAAGGGAUUAGAUACCCCUGUAGUC
rnacentral:rRNA from 1 species